UACGUAGGGGGCUAGCGUUGUCCGGAUUUAUUGGGCGUAAAGAGCGUGUAGGCGGCCAGGUAGGUCUGCUGUGAAAACUCGAGGCUCAACCUCGAGACGUCGGCGGAAACCAUCUGGCUAGAGUCCGGAAGAGGAGAGUGGAAUUCCUGGUGUAGCGGUGAAAUGCGCAGAUAUCAGGAAGAACACCCGUGGCGAAGGCGGCUCUCUGGGACGGAACUGACGCUGAGGCGCGAAAGCGUGGGGAGCGAACAGG
rnacentral:rRNA from 1 species